rnacentral:tRNA from 1 species
GGGAAUGUGGCUCAGUGGCAGAGUACUUGCCUAGAAUGCAUGAGAACCUGGGUUUCAUUCACAGCACUGCCC